rnacentral:rRNA from 1 species
AUACGGGGGUGGCAAGCGUUAAUCGGAGUUAUUGGGCGUAAAGGUAACGUAGGUGGUUCAUUAAGUUAUGUGGGAAAUAACCUGGGCUUAACCUGGGAAUGUCGGAUAAUACUAGUGAACUUGAGUAUAGUAGAGGGUAGUGGAAUUUCCGGUGUAGCGGUGAAAUGCGUAGAGAUCGGAAGGAACACCAGUGGCGAAGGCGGCUACCUGGACUAAUACUGACACUGAGGUGCGAAAGUGUGGGGAGCAAACAGGAUUAGAUACCCUGGUAGUCCACACCGUAAACGAUGAAUGCCAGUCGUCGGGUAGCAUGCUAUUCGGUGACACACCUAACGGAUUAAGCAUUCCGCCUGGGGAGUACGGUCGCAAGAUUAAAACUCAAGGGAAUUGACGGGGGCCCGCACAAGCGGUGAGCAUGUGGUUUAAUUCGAUGCAACGCGAAGAACCUUACCUACACUUGACAUGCUGAGAAGUUACUAGAGAUAGUUUCGUGCCUUCGGGAACUCAGA